UACGGAGGGUGCAAGCGUUGUUCGGAUUUAUUGGGCGUAAAGCGCGCGCAGGCGGACGAUCAAGUCAGAUGUGAAAUCUCGGGGCUUAACCCCGAAACUGCGUCUGAAACUGAUGGUCUAGAGUCUCGAAGGGGGUAGGGGAAUUUCACGUGUAGGGGUAAAAUCCGUAGAGAUGUGAAGGAACACCGGAGGCGAAGGCGCCUACCUGGACGAGCACUGACGCUGAUGGACGAAAGCGUGGGUAGCGAACAGG
rnacentral:rRNA from 1 species